rnacentral:rRNA from 1 species
UACGUAGGGGGCAAGCGUUGUCCGGGUUCGUUGGGCGUAAAGAGCGUGUAGGCGGCCAGGUAGGUCGGUUGUGAAAACUGGAGGCUCAACCUUCAGAGGUCGACCGAAACCAUCUGGCUAGAGUCCGGGAGAGGAGAGUGGAAUUCCUGGUGUAGCGGUGAAAUGCGCAGAUAUCAGGAAGAACACCCGUGGCGAAAGCGGCUCUCUGGAACGGUACUGACGCUGAGGCGCGAAAGCCAGGGGAGCAAACGGG